AAACACUUUUGGCACAUAUCGAAAUUGAAGCACUUGAGGCAGCGAUAACGGAAACCAAUUAUCGGAUACUCCUUGCAAAUGUUACAUUUUGCCUGUUGUCAUCAAUUCGCCAAUUGCAUGGUGGCCAUUUUAAUAAACAGCCGUGAUAGGCACACAGCGGGUACCAAAACUUGAUUGGCGGUGAAGAAUGCCUGCUGUUCGUUGCAAUCGUCCAACAGCGCACCGGCGGUGGUCAUUUUGUCGCGCAAGCGUUGCAAAUGUUGAAUCUGCUCAGUGGCCUCCUGUGCGGAAACGGGUGGUAACCAUGAUGUCUUCGUAGCUUCGGCCGAGGCGACGCGUGAACUCAAGUCCUCGAGCGUCUUUUGGAAUUGACGCAUUUUCUACAAUGAAAAGGAAUAGCACACAAAUUUAUUGAAUGUUAAAAUAAAAAAUGCAAUUAUAAAGGGGAAAGUGAGUUGAGAGAGUUGCAUUUUUAUUAAUUUACUAUAAAAAUUUUAAAUAAAGAAAUCUUUUGUUUUUAUUUGGCAAUUUGGUACGCUCAUUUGAUGGUAUACAUACAUAGUUGAUCAUAUGAUUGCUCUUUUGUGCUCUUUUUAUCCUUUUGAAUUGACACAUUUUAAUUUAAUGAUGGAGUUGACAUUUUAAUGCCGUUACAUUUCGCGUUUCCUUUCUUUUCGUUUUUUUUACUUUCGCUUGCAGUUGCCAAUUCGUGAGAAUUCGAAUGCGUGUGAAAUAUGGGCAGAUGAAAAUCCGAAAGGAUAAUGAAGUGCAACGCUUUCUUUGCAGAAUAUGGUCGGAAGAAUGCACGCCUGACGAUUGGAAUCUCAGUGUACUCUGCCCAAUCCAUAAAAGGGAGAUUCCGCAAUCUGUGCCAAUUACAGUGGGAUAAGCUAAAUAUCGCCUAUAAGGUUCUAUCGAGCGUUCUGUGUGAAAGACUAAGGCCUACCGUUAACAAGCUGAUUUGACUUUAUCAGUGUUGCUUUAGACCUGGAAAAUCCACAACUGAUCACAUAUUUACCAUGCGCAAAAUCUUGGAGAAGACCCGUGAAAAGAGGAUCGUUGAGCAACAGCGAAAGCUCCGUCAUGAUUGGGAAGGACCUCUCCGAUCCCUUCGAUACCAAACGGGGCUUCAGACAAGGUGACUCUCUAUCGUGUAACUUCUUUAAUUUGAUACUGGAAAAAAUAAUACGAGCUGUAGAGCUAAAUAGAGAAGGUACAAUCUUCUAUAAGAGUGUACAGCUGCUGGCGUACGCCUAUGAUAUUGAUAUCAUCGGAAGCAACAACCGCGCCAUUUGUUCUGCGAAUGGGUCUGGAGGUGAAUGAGAACAAGACGAAAUAUCUCCUGUCAUCAAACAAACAGCGCAUUCGAGUCUUGGCUCCCACGUAACUGUUGACAGUCAUAACUUCGAAGUCGUAGAUAAUUUCGUAUACCUAGGAAUCAGCAUCAACAACACCAACAAUGUCAGUCUCGAAAUCCAGCGCAGAAUCACUCUUGCCAAUAGGUGCUACUUUGGACUGGAUAGGCAAUUGAAAAGUAAAGCUCUCUCUCGACGAACAAAAAUCAAACUCCAAAGUGCUUCAAAUUGCAUCACGAUAUUUGCACUUUUAAGAUCCAGAUACAGCAGGAUACCAGAAAUACAAUACAUAAAUAAAUAUAUUUAAAACCUUUUGUUGGAAAAGUCCUUUCUUGUGUUAAAUCUCUUUUUUACUUAAAGUAAGGUUUAAAGUUAGUUUGACGUGGAGUUAUGGCAGGUAAAAUCGUAUUCGAUAUUUCCCCAUAGUUCUUUGAUGGAGCAUAGGGCAAACUAACGAAUAAGGCUCAACUAAUUGUGUUUUACCAGCUCAUGGCUGCAGUCUUAUAUGUGCUGUUUUAUUUAAAAUCUGGUUAGUUAACCACCGGUAAUAAUUCUCAACUUAAAUAAUUUGACAAAUAUAUUUGGCUGGUCGUCGCUGAUUAUUGUGAAUAUUCAAAAAAAUAGAACUUAAAUUUUGUUUUGUAUAACUACUGGUUAAG